AGAACAUAUAUUCAAACAUUUGAAUGUCAUUCCUAAAUACUGCACAAUUUCUAGUGUUAUAGAAACUAGCUAGAUUUACAUGGGAAUAGCUGUGUUGGUAGUAAGUGAGACAUAUUGAGAGGUAAAUAGACAUGUAGCAAGAUUCAGUGACUGCAACUUACAGAGCGUUAGUUAUGAUGAACUAUAAACAUAUUGUGUAGUCAAACUAUCUCAUGG